CCUACGGGAGGCAGCAGUGGGGAAUCUUGCGCAAUGGGCGAAAGCCUGACGCAGCGACGCCGCGUGGGGAAGAAGGCUUUCGGGUUGUAAACCCCUUUUCAGGAGGGACGAAGCUACUCGGGUUAAUAGCCCAGAGGGUGACGGUACCUUCAGAAGAAGCCCCGGCUAACUACGUGCCAGCAGCCGCGGUAAUACGUAGGGGGCAAGCGUUGUCCGGAUUUAUUGGGCGUAAAGAGCGUGUAGGCGGCUUGGUAGGUCAGUUGUGAAAACUCGAGGCUCAACCUCGAGACGCCGAUUGAAACCACCAGGCUAGAGUCCGGAAGAGGAGAGUGGAAUUCCCGGUGUAGCGGUGAAAUGCGCAGAUAUCGGGAAGAACACCCGUGGCUAAGGCGGCUCUCUAGUACGGUACUGACGCUGAGACGCGAAAGCGUGGGGAGCGAACAGGAUUAGAUACCCUGGUAGUCCACGCCGUAAACGAUGGUGNGUAGUGGUGGGGUGGUCGACGUCCUCCGUCGCGACGCUACGCAUAGUACACCCGCCGUCGGGUAGGUACGGCCGCGACGACGUAAACGUACGAAGAGAGUAGACGGUCGUGAGACGUUGCCGACGGACGACGACGAGGGAGGUAGG
rnacentral:rRNA from 1 species